rnacentral:rRNA from 1 species
GACGAACGCUCUCGGCGUGCUUAACUCAUGCAAGUCGAACGGAAAGUCCCUGCUUUUUUGGGUUGCUCUAGUUGCGAACGUGUGUGUAACACGUUAGUAACCUUCCCUUGACUUUGGGAUAACUUCAGGAAACUGGGCCUAAUACCGGAUAGGAGCUCCUGCUGCAUGGUGGGCUUUGGAAAGUUUCUGCGGUUGGUGAUGGACUCGCGGCUUAUCAGCUUGUUGGUGGGGUAGUGGCUUACCAAGGCUUUGACGGGUAGCCGGCCUGAGAGGGUGACCGGCCACAUUGGGACUGAGAUAAGGCCCAGACUCCUACGGGAGGCAGCAGUGGGGAAUAUUGCACAAUGGGCGGAAGCCUGAUGCAGCAACGCAGCGUGCGGGAUGACGGCCUUCGGGUUGUAAACCGCUUUCGCCUGUGACGAAGCGUGAGUGACGGUAAUGGGUAGAGAAGCACCGGCUAAGUACGUG